GACGAACGCUGGCGGCGUGCUUAACACAUGCAAGUCGAACGGAAAGGCCCUGCUUGCAGGGUACUCUAGUGGCGAACGGGUGAGUAACACGUGGGUGAUCUGCCCUGCACUUCGGGCUAAGCCUGGGAAACUGGGUCUAAUACCGGAUAGGAGCCAUUUUUAGUGUGAUGGUUGGAAAGUUUUUUCGGUGUAGGAUGAGCUCUCGGCCUAUCAGCUUGUUGGUGGGGUAAUGGCCUACCAAGGCGGCGACGGGUAGCCGGCCUGAGAGGGUGGACGGCCACAUUGGGACUGAGAUACGGCCCAGACGCUUACGGGAGGCAGCAGUGGGGAAUAUUGCACAAUGGGCGCAAGCCUGAUGCAGCGACGCCGCGUGGGGGAUGACGGCCUUCGGGUUGUAAACUCCUUUCGCUAGGGACGAAGCUUUUUGUGACGGUACCUAGAUAAGAAGCACCGGCUAACUACGUG
rnacentral:rRNA from 1 species